GUGUGAGCUACCGUGCCAAGAAGAUUAAUGGCGGAGGAUAAGAAGUCACUAAUGGUGCCUGUCCAGAGCCUGGUCAACUCUCGGCAGAUGGGAGAAACCUCCGGGACCUUGUGUGAGUACAGGCAGGCCAUGCUCACAUCGACUGUCCCUAACUACCAGUUUAUAUCUUGUUCAUGGAUACCCAAACAAAAAAAUCAAAACAUUUAUUGGGCUCCCUGUCAAAGAGAGCCCACACCGAAGUAAGAAUGUCAAAUACAUCCACAUCCUCUUUAAGAACAAAGUCAAACACCAUUUUUCUGAUUGCUUACUCGCAAUCUGAUAUACCUCUGGAAAAACUCUCCCCAUUUUUUAUUGAAAAAGCCAUCCGUGGCAUAUCCUCGGAAGUGAAACAAAU
rnacentral:lncRNA from 1 species